CAGCAGAUGGACUUUGUCCAGCAAAUGGACUUCAUGCAACCCUCUCUCUCUCCUCUUUCCAGGUGUCUCACUGACCUGCGAAAUCUGCAGUGGAGAUACCAACUGCACGGGUGAGAAGAAGGCUUGCCCAGAGGGUCAAGACGCAUGUGCCAUUAAUUUGAUGCAAGGCUUCCGAGGCACCAACAAAUUUUGGACCGUCAGUAAGAACUGUACCUCGUCCUUUAUCUGCCACUUAGAGCCGGUGGAUGUGGCUCUAGGUGAAGGAAAAUCUUUCAAGGCAGAUAUUUCCUGCUGUGUGGAGAAUAAUUGCAUACCAGCCUUUCCAAAAUUACCAAGAUCAGCAAAAGUGCACAAUGGAAAAAUUUGCCCAACGUGCUUUUCAGCGACAAAGGAUUGCUCUGAAAAACCUGUGUAUUGCAGUGGAAGUGAUAUUUACUGCUUAAGUUUUAUCCUGGUUCAAGGUAUUGACACUUUACAUGCAAACUAAUUUUAUGUUCAUAUGCUCUAGUAUGCCAAUGAAUGUUCCAUACCAGUGCCAGAGAGAGAGAGAUCUUAGCUCAAGACCAAAUAUUAUGUUGAUUGUGUGGGCAGAAUUAAUUUUUUUUAUUUUUUAUUUUAUUUCUUACUUUUUCCCCAAUUCAUAGACCCCCAGGGCAGUGUUGAAAAAUGAUUUAAAAACAGAUACAAAUGAAAAUAUGCUAUUGUUCUACAUUCAAGACGUCUUGGAGCUGAGAAGCCAUGACAUGCUCCAGUACUGUAUCCAAGGAUGACAUGGCAUGAUAUGGUUGGGGGUUGAAUAAGGAUCUAACCAUCAUCUUUUUAGGCAGUCUGGAAUAGUGCUUUGUUCUGGCGAGGGAUUCGCCACUGUGCAUAAUUUAUACCUCUCUCAGUUUUCCUUGACACAGAAUCUCAUCAGGAGUACAUGCAAACUUAAGUCACCCUUUGGCCCCAAUAAGCCUAUCUGGCAUCCAACAUAGUGUAGUGGAAACAGGGCUUUGAGGAAACGUGAAUGGUAUUACUCUAUCCAACGUUAUCUUUAUAAGGGCCCUGUGAGGCAGGUUAGGUUGAGACAAUGGUCCAAGAUCGUUGAUUGAGCUUCAUGGGCAAAGGUGGAUUCGAACCCCAGUCACCUGAGUCUUCGUCCAGCAUUCCAGCCGUGGCCGUAUGAUGAUUCCCCAGCUUAGCUUAGGUCCAAUCCUCACCGAAGCUAUGUGGGGGAGAUGAGGUGUUUCUCCAACAUCAAUACGUUGUCGUGAGCCAUCCCAUUUGAAAAUCAAAAUAUUUGGAGAUAUCUGAGGGCUUGAGUGGACAAACGCAGCCUUUUAUUUUAUCUCUGUGUUGCUUCUCAAGGAGAUAAACUAAAAAAAUAACUAGAAUCUGGUUGGUUGGUGUGAAUCAACCCAGCUGCUUGUAUUACCGGUCUUUGUGCUUUCUGCUGUCGAACCCAUCCCAAAUGAAUAUUUUCACUUCAGCCUUUUACCAAGACACCACUAGUUUUGUCGGGAAGUAAAUGGAGUUGUGAAGUUUCUCCCGAACAUGGAACGUCUCUACAGGUAGAAUAAAGAAUUGCUACCCAGAUUAUGACA
ensembl:lncRNA